UACGUAUGGAGCAAGCGUUAUCCGGAUUUACUGGGUGUAAAGGGAGCGCAGGCGGUCUGGCAAGUCUGAUGUGAAAGGCCGGGGCUCAACCCCGGGACUGCAUUGGAAACUGUCAGACUGGAGUGUCGGAGAGGUAAGCGGAAUUCCUAGUGUAGCGGUGAAAUGCGUAGAUAUUAGGAGGAACACCGGUGGCGAAGGCGGCUUACUGGACGAUGACUGACGCUGAGGCUCGAAAGCGUGGGGAGCAAACAGG
rnacentral:rRNA from 1 species